rnacentral:tRNA from 1 species
GGAAGGGUGGCUGAGUGGUCGAAGGCGGCGGUCUCGAAAACCGUUAGAGGUGCAAGUCUCUCGUGGGUUCGAAUCCCACCCCUUCCGCCA